rnacentral:rRNA from 1 species
GUGUCAGCCGCCGCGGUAAUACGGGGGGAGCGAGCGUUGUCCGGAAUCACUGGGCGUAAAGGGUGUGUAGGCGUCCCGGUAAGUCUCUGGUGAAAGCCUUCCGCUCAACGGAAGAAUUGCCAGAGAUACUGUCGGGAUUGAGUCCGGGAGAGGGGAGCGGAAUUCCUGGUGUAGCGGUGAAAUGCGUAGAUAUCAGGAAGAACGCCAGAGGCGAAGGCGGCUCCCUAGCCCGGUACUGACGCUGAGGGACGAAAGCCAGGGGAGCGAACCGGAUUAGAUACCCGGGUAGUCCUGGCCGUAAACGAUGGAUGCUAGAUGUGGGCGGGGAGACCCGUCCGUGUCGCAAGCUAACGCGUUAAGCAUCCCGCCUGGGGAGUACGGCCGCAAGGUUGAAACUCAAAGGAAUUGGCGGGG